rnacentral:rRNA from 2 species
ACGAAACUUGCCCCGAGAUGAGUUCUCCCUGACCCUUUAAGGGUCCUGAAGGAACGUUGAAGACGACGACGUUGAUAGGCCGGGUGUGUAAGCGCAGCGAUGCGUUGAGCUAACCGGUACUAAUGAACCGUGAGGCUUAACCUUACAACGCCGAAGGUGUUU